AACGCGAAGAACCUUACCAGCCCUUGACAUGUCCCGUAUGGGUGGGGGAGACCCCAUUCUUCAGUUCGGCUGGCGGGAACACAGGUGCUGCAUGGCUGUCGUCAGCUCGUGUCGUGAGAUGUUGGGUUAAGUCCCGCAACGAGCGCAACCCUUAUCAUUAGUUGCCAACACGUAAGGUGGGGACUCUAAUGAGACUGCCUAGGUUAACUAGGAGGAAGGCGAGGAUGAUGUCAAGUCCGCAUGGCCUUUAUGUCCAGGGCUACACACGUGCUACAAUGGUCGGUACAGAGGGCUGCAAGACCGUAAGGUGGAGCAAAUCCCAGAAAGCCGAUCUCAGUUCAGAUUGUGGACUGCAACUCGUCCACAUGAAGUCGGAAUUGCUAGUAAUGGCGUGUCAGCAAUAACGCCGUGAAUACGUUCCCGGGCCUUGUACACACCGCAUAC
rnacentral:rRNA from 1 species